GACGAACGCUGGCGGCGCGCUUAACACAUGCAAGUCGAACGGAAAGGCCUGCUUUCCCUUGUGGAUUGCGGGUACUCGAGUGGCGAACGGGUGAGUAACACGUGAGUGAUCUGCCCCCAACUUGGGUAUAAGCCUGGGAAACUGGGUCUAAUUCCCGAUAGGACUGCAGGGUGGUGCCUGUGGUGGAAAACGAUUUUCUAGUGGUUGGGGAUGAGCUCGCGGCCUAUCAGCUUGUUGGUGGGGUAAUGGCCUACCAAGGCGGCGACGGGUAGCCGGCCUGGGAGGGUGGACGGCCGCAUUGGGACUGAGAUACGGCCCAGACUCCUACGGGAGGCAGCAGUGGGGAAUAUUGCACAAUGGGCGGAAGCCUGAUGCAGCGACGCAGCGUGGGGGAUGACGGCCUUCGGGUUGUAAACUCCUUUCGACCGCGAGGAAGCCACCUGGUUGGAAGGGUGGUGACGGUAGUGGUAGAAGAAGCACCGGCUAACUACGUG
rnacentral:rRNA from 1 species